UACGAAGGGGGCGAGCGUUGUUCGGAUUUACUGGGCGUAAAGGGCGCGCAGGCGGCUCAUUUUGUCAGGCGUGAAAGCCCCGGGCUUAACCUGGGAACUGCGUUUGAUACGGAUGGGCUAGAGUUCGGGAGAGGAGAGUGGAAUUCCCAGUGUAGAGGUGAAAUUCGUAGAUAUCUGGAGGAACACCGGUGGCGAAGGCGGCAUCCUGGACCGACAUUGACGCUGAGGCGCGAAAGCCAGGGGAGCAAACGGG
rnacentral:rRNA from 1 species